rnacentral:rRNA from 1 species
UACGUAGGGUGCAAGCGUUGUCCGGAAUUAUUGGGCGUAAAGAGCUCGUAGGCGGUUCGUCGCGUCGGCUGUGAAAACCCGGAGCUCAACUCCGGGCCUGCAGUCGAUACGGGCGGACUGGAGUUCGGCAGGGGAGACUGGAAUUCCUGGUGUAGCGGUGAAAUGCGUAGAUAUCAGGAGGAACACCUGUGGCGAAAGCGGCUCACUGGACCACAACUGACGCUGAGGCGCGAAAGCUAGGGGAGCAAACAGG